rfam:Haemonchus placei strain MHpl1 genome assembly, scaffold: HPLM_scaffold0001603
GACUCAAAGUUGAAGUAGAAUAGAUUGGCAGGAUCAGUUGACCAUACUAAUCCAUUUUACUUCAAGUUUGUGCCC